rnacentral:rRNA from 1 species
UACAGAGGUCCCAAGCGUUGUUCGGAUUCACUGGGCGUAAAGGGUGCGUAGGCGGUCGGGUAAGUCUGACGUGAAAUCUUCAAGCUCAACUUGGAAACUGCGUCCGAUACUAUUCGGCUAGAGGAAUGGAGGGGAGACUGGAAUACUUGGUGUAGCAGUGAAAUGCGUAGAUAUGUGGAGGAACACCGAUGGCGAAGGCAGCCCCCUGGGAUAACACUGACGCUCAGGCACGAAAGCGUGGGGAGCAAACAGG